rnacentral:rRNA from 1 species
GAGUUUGAUCCUGGCUCAGAUUGAACGCUGGCGGCAUGCCUUACACAUGCAAGUCGAACGGCAGCACGGGAGCAAUCCUGGUGGCGAGUGGCGAACGGGUGAGUAAUAUAUCGGAACGUGCCCAGUCGUGGGGGAUAACGCAGCGAAAGCUGUGCUAAUACCGCAUACGAUCUAUGGAUGAAAGCGGGGGAUCGCAAGACCUCGCGCGAUUGGAGCGGCCGAUAUCAGAUUAGGUAGUUGGUGGGGUAAAGGCUCACCAAGCCAACGAUCUGUAGCUGGUCUGAGAGGACGACCAGCCACACUGGAACUGAGACACGGUCCAGACUCCUACGGGAGGCAGCAGUGGGGAAUUUUGGACAAUGGGCGCAAGCCUGAUCCAGCAAUGCCGCGUGCAGGAUGAAGGCCUUCGGGUUGUAAACUGCUUUUGUACGGAACGAAAAGGCUCUGGUUAAUACCUGGGGCCCAUGACGGUACCGUAAGAAUAAGCACCGGCUAACUACGUGCCAGCAGCCGCGGUAAU